rnacentral:siRNA from 1 species
GGAUUGAAGGGAGCUCUU